rnacentral:pre_miRNA from 1 species
AGCCAUGUUUUUUUUAGGAGUAUUAGGAGCGAGUAGUGAGGAGCGAGAAUGCUGGCGCCUACUCUCUGGCUUGCGCCAGCAUUCUCGCUCCUCACUACUCGCUCCUAAUUACUUUUAGUUAUA